UUGAUCUCUUAUUAAGGACUUCAUGAUACUUUGUACUUUAAUGAAUUAUUUCAUCCAUUAAUAUUUUGUGAAAUUUAUAAUUUUCUUAACUGUAAUCUACAAAUAGUAGUAACCUGAAAAGAAACCAAGGAAUGCAAAUAUUUUCAAAAAACAAUAUGGUUUUUAAUACCACAUGUAGUUUCGUUUAGAAAUAUAGAUCCAGUUAUUUUUCAAUAUCUUGGACAUGUCACUACAUGUAUGUUAAUAUACUUACAUGUUUUAUGGUUUUUAAUAUUAAAAUUAUCAGUCCAGCCACCAAACCACUGAUGUAUUAUUGGGUACUUGUGAAUGUGUAGCAAGUGUCUUUACAUCAUUGGGGGGGGGGGGGGGGGGGUAGGGCUGUGGCCACAUCCCACACAGUACCUCCAUCUUUGUGAGGAUAUGGCUGAUCACUGAUCUAGCUAACUCAGUCAGCUUCAUCAUUAAAAGAAGCAGGCUUGAAUUUGGAUUAUUUCCUAUAUAUCAAUGAAAAGUGAAGUGCUUAUCAUUUAUCUACAAUGUUGUAAGUUAACCUGUAUUGCAUGUACAGUAAGACUGUUGCCGAACUAUUGUUUUAUUGAUCUCUUCUCUAUGAACCAAAUAAGGCACAAUACCGGUACGUUUACUCUCAGCAAUGAUUAAAAAUGGUUUGAACAAUUUGUCUGUCCGUGUAAAAUGUGACAUGUAAAAUGCGAUUGCUUUUUACUCUGGCAUAUUGUUAGUUAUGAUUGACAGUUUAGAUGACAGUUUUUGUUUUUCUUGGUAAGAGGUGCUUUUGGCAUGAAGUAACAAGCGUGUAUAAUUAUGUGUAUUAUGACAAAUGUUAAUAUAUUUAUUUAAAACCUCCUCUGCAUCAAUAGGAAGGAGAGGACUAUAGCAGAAUCAUUUACUUGUAUCAACAGCCUGCAUUUUAAUUUAUUUUGGUAAUUAUUAUACAACUUCCUGUAUAUAAUGAAUUGUUUAAUCGAUUAUUAAAAAGAAAUGGACCAAUGG
rnacentral:misc_RNA from 1 species